UCUUCCUUUAUUUUUUUUAUGAUUCAUUAUUUUUUCCCUCUUUUAUCCAUUUUCUUUUUGGUGGUAGGGUACCAGGAAUUAUUCAAAUCGGAAUUAUUUUAUUGAUGACUGUCUCAUAGCAUACAUGUCAUGAACUCAUGAUUCUUUUCUGAAAGCAGAAAAGAAGAUUCUUUGCAAAACUAUUUAUGCAAGCUGUGGUAGCAUUCUAUAUAAUAAAUGUAUAACUUCAUCAGGAACAGGAACAGAGGUACAUGUUUCCUGACUCCUUUCAGUUCUUCACUUAUCCUAUUGCAUUUGUUUUUGAAUUUUUCCAUUUUGGUGUGUUAAUCCAUAUGAACUACUAGAAUUUUUCUAACAGUCUGUAACCAUAGAGAUGAAGCAAAUAUAUUUUUGCACAACUAAUUUACAAAAGCUGUAGUGAAGGGACAAUAGUAGUAAGUCUAAUUUUGUUCUCAUGUUGACACAAUCUAUUAUUUAGAAGGUUAAAGGUUCUCUCAUUGAGUUUAUUCUUUUUAAAUCCUCAAAAAUUGGUUGUAUCUAGCAUUAUGUAAUUUUUGCUUGUCAUCCUUACAAAUGCAACUUCAAGAAAGACUUCUGGUUUGCUUUACUGCUCAUUACGGCAUCUUGAUGGGAUAUUAAAGGUACCUCUUUGGUUCUCGUUUAGAAACUAUUUUUCUUCCAUUCCUGCAAUGCAAUGUUAGGAAAUAUUUUCUUGUUUGCAGGACUACUUCUCAUGCUAUCCAGAGAUCAAGGUAUUCACAUACUUGACUUCUAUAGUUUUGGUCCUUUUGGAUUGCUUGUUUAUGGUACUUUUUAAUAUAAUUUGAUUCUCUGUUGUUACGGUUCAGUUAUUUGUUUCUGCAAAACUCACCUAUGAUGCGAACACUGCAGUGCCGUUACAAACUCUUUUUUUGCAAUCCUUGAAAUGCGAAGUAAAGCAUCUACACGGUUUCCUUUAUUGAAUAUAGUUGGUGAUUCAUCGGUCUAGCGAUCCUGCAAAAUGUGUUUGUUUGUUUACUUUUUCAUUUUUUUUGUUACUAAAACCAGUACUUACAACACUGAGUUAGCCGCGUAUUUCAGAUCGACUAAUAAAAUAUGAUUAAGUAGUUUUGAUACAGUAAUUUCAUCCUGUGAAACCAACUCUACUUGCACUGGAUUACUUGCAAGAUGUGGUGUUGCUCUAAGAGAUUGAGAUGGUUCAAACAUGGGUUCUUUCAUUUUCUUCUUGAUACUAAGAUUAUAUUAGUUCUGAAUUAGAUGCAUUGAAGAUGAGAUUAUCGAUAUGCUUUUAUUGGUAUGCUUUUUAUUUGUGUUCCAAAGAGGUGUUAUGUGCGUCAAUUCUCUUCAAUUGGGUUUUUGAUUCAGCUUUCACUCUAAAAUUGGUUACUGCUGAUCCAUUUUGUUUGAAGUUACUUUCUUAUUGAUUAAUGAUUUGAGUUCGUUUAUGUAGAUGAUGGCAUACAUUAGAUCAAUUUCUUGACUUAUCUCUUUUUUUAUGGCACAAAUUCUUGACUUAUUUCAUUUCUAGCAUCAAGCUGGGUUUUGCCAUUUCAUCGAGGCCUUUUUUCAGUUUGAAAUGGUAUGACUUUUAAUUUGCCUUUGUUUUCUUUUUCUUGAUGAGUAUAUAAAGAUCAGUAUCCUUGUUUCAAUUAAUUUCUUGACUUUUUCCUUGACCAUUAUCUUGAUGUCCAUUUCUUACCAAAUCAUUUGGCAAUCGACUGGAGUGAAUAUGCUCCCUACAUAGUAACUUAAGCUCAGAAAUUGUAAGGGGAACCUACCAGUGAGCUUGCCAUCCAGAGGUGCCUACCCCAAAGCAACUGACAAAACCUGCCCUGAAGACACAAAUCCUGUAUUUCAAGAACUAGCCACCUGCACAUUUUAAAGUGGUCCCACGUGAUAGUCCUCUUCUAACUCACCAAGCCAUACUCACAACAUUGUGUAAUAGGCACAUUUUUCAGGUGCGUAUUGAGAAAAUUGGUCACUGCUAGAUUUUCUAUUUUAUUUCUGUUAUUGUGGUUGUAAGGAUUUUGAACAAAAUAUGUUAUUGCUGGUUCAUUUUGAGUUGUGGAUGAUCUCUACCUGAAUUUACUGGACUUGGGAAGUACCUACCUAAAGCAACUAGCCAAGACUUUCAACUUGAAUAAGACACAAAUGGUGGCUUUCAAAAACAAAGCCACAUGUCCCCUGUUAAAUUGUUCUUGCAUGAGAUCCGUCUUCUAGUCGGCAAGCCAAACCCACAAACACAUUUUUCAGGUGCGUAUUGAGAAAAUUGGUUACUAAUGGUUUUUCUAUUUCAUAAUACUUAAGGAUCUUGUAACAAAAUUUGCUAAUGCUGGUUUAUUUGAUUUGUUUAUACAUGUCCUGCAUUGUGGAAGAAUCUAUAACUGUAUUUACGGGACUUGGGAAGAGCCAAUUUCCUUGUAAUUGCUCUUGGAAACAUGAAUCAUAUCCACUGAUAAACCAACAGUUGGUUGCAUCCCGGUUGCCGAUGGCAAGAGUGUCUAAACAUGGUCCAUAAUAAGCCUAGAGCCAUUUUCUCGGCCGAAUCAUAUCCACUGAGUAAACCAACAGUUGGUUGCAUCCCGGUUUCUAAUGGUAUGAUUUUAUGUUUUUGUUCUUACUAUUUUUAAUUUUUUGUUCAUUACCACAUCUAAGAAAUACAUAAUUGGCCUCUAUACAUAAGAUGCCAUUUGCUAAAUGGAAAGUUCAAAGAUAUUGUAAACUUGAAAACAAUGUUAUACUUUGCCAGCAAUUGGGAGGUGUUCCACUUACAUUCUCUAUACAAAGUCCUUACCUCCAUCUGAAGCUUCAGAUUCAAAGAAGGGAAAUUGUUAUAUUUAUCUUAAGCAUUGCACAACGUAUACAGAAACAACUUUGUGCACCUUGUAUUCCUUUCUUUUCUAUUAUGGUUCAUUCCGUUAAUUUUUUUAUCCAUUUUGUUUUGGGUGGGAGGGUGGCAAAACUAAUAUUCAAUUGGGACUUGAGUUUAGAUUCUGGUUGCAGUUUCCAUUAGACGCUUCUUCAAUUGGCGGCAAAUGACGCACAUGCUCCAGAUCCUAUGCCUGGGUAGCUCAACUACCUAUGUCUUCCAAUUUGAUAUAAAAUAUGAAAAUCUUCUUCAAUUUAUCUAGAUUUUGCUCAUCAAUAGAUAUUUUAGCAUCUUUGGGCGUUUUUAUCUUAUUUUCAAUCAUUUUUCUAAAUCAAAUUCUAGGAUAUGUUACCUUUAUCCUCAUUAUACUAUGAACACUUCUUGUUAUAACUUUGAUUAUCUGUUUAUGGAUUGCUUGCGUCUAGUUAUCUAAACUGUGUAGAACUUUUAUGAGCCAUCUUGUGUUAGAUCUAUGAUCUUGGUGUUAUAGAAUGGCAAGAAUUAUAGCAUAUUCAUUGGUUUUGUCAUGGAUUUGGGAGUUAAUUGGAUUAUUAGAAUGUUUUUAUUGAAAUCUGGCCACAUAAAGACUCUACAAUCGGUUCAAGACACCCCUCUCAAGUUAAGUGUAAUUCUUUGCAAAUGCAUGUUAUGAUAAUUGGUGCGUAAUUUUCCCCCUGUAGCCCCCUGUAGAUAACUAGGAAAGCAUUUGUAGUUUUUUGCAUAUGCAUUUUAUGCUCAUGAGUAUGUACAUGAUAAAAUUAUUGUCUCCGUAAACAAAUGAUCAUUUCUUGCUCAUUAGAUACCAUAUGCCAUGAAUUUUGAAGUAUAGGAGAAAUUUUUGUGGAGUGUAAAGUCUUCCAGAUCCUACUUGGUGCUACUAGAAUUCCCUUUCUCUUGCAUGAAGGGUAAGAUAAACUUAUUGCUCUCACUCUUUCCUUUGCACUUUUUCCUGAUUCAUUCUCUUCUUUAAUGUAUCUUUUUUGUUUGUGCACAGUGAAAAGAGCUAAUCAAAGUUAAAUAACUGUAUAGAGAAUUGUCCCAUGUCAGUACAUGUGUAGUUCUUGUCUGAAAUUAUAAAAUGAAACAUAUAUACUAUUUGGUACUUUGGAUGACGAAUCUGACUGGACCAGGUACUCAUUUCUUGACUCUAUUUCUUAUUUCUCUUCUUCUAUUGCAUUCAUUCUUUUUAUUUUGUCCUGUUAAUCCCUUGCAUUCUUGUCCAAAAAAUUAUGUUCCAUAAGGUACAUACUGCCCCUACAUUUUUCUUUUCUUUUCUCUUCUUCUACUUCAUUCAUUCAUUUUUUUCUCUUUUUUUUUAUGUUAAUAUAUUUGAAUAGUUGUAUGUAGAAUAUGGUUGUUAUACUUCUGGUUGUCCUACAAUACGAUUAAUGAAGCCCAAUUUGAUGCAGUUCAUCCCUAUGUCAUUGUGAAUCAACACUCAAAUAUGCAACUCUUAACAAAUACAACAACUACACAUCAAAAAGACAAAGGAAAACAAAAUAGAAUCAACAAACUGAAGUAAUUUUUUUAACACAAACAAUUGACCAAAGUAUUAUAUACAAGUUAAAACACAAAUUAUUUGUAGACAACCUAAUAACAACAAAACCCACCAAAAUCUCAACAUUAACCAAAUCAACAACCAAUAACAAUCCACAAGAAGAAUCACUUCCCUUAACAAGUGCAGUCUCACAUUCAUCUUCACAUUGGUAAUGUCUGCACUCUAAAUUUACUCUUCAUGCGUAUAUAUCGAUUUUUUGAAUUAACUAUUAACUUAUUUUGUGUGUAUGUUUGUUGGUUGCGUGUUGCUUUGGAUGGUUGAUUCUGUGAAGCUUUUAAUUGGGCUCUACUUGUCGAAUGUUUCUUUAUGAAUUAAUUUGUUCCUCUUUUUAUGGUUUGUUCAAUUCUAUUUUUUUUCUCUCCGUCCAUUGUUAUUUAAGGGGUGGCGCUGUUUCUACUAAUCCAAUUUAAUUGUCCUUAUAUACUUAUCAUAGCCAUGGACACAUGUUGCCCUUGCAUUUUUUCCCUCUGCUUUAGGGCAAUGAAAUAAACUAGAAUCUAACAACACCAGGUACUUUUCUGGUAUAUGCAUUUAUUUUUUCUUUGUUAACCAUUUCAUUUGUUUAUACAGAAUUUCCCAUAGCAUACAUGACAUAGUCCUGUCUGAAUGGAAAUGAGCUAAAUUAGGUAAUAUAGAAGCUGUAACUCUGUAAGGUACAUAUUUCCUUCUCAGGAUUUACAUCUUUUAUUUUGUUUUCGUAUUUCUCAUAAAUAUGAUUGUGGCUUCUGUUCUUCAAGGGAUUUAGUAGAUUCAAGUGCGCAAGUAUCUCAUAUUCUCAUAGUAAGUGAAAAACUGAAAAUCUUCAAACUUUUAUCUCGAUUUUGCUCAUAACUUUGAUUUUCUGUUUUUUUUACUGCUUUGUCCUUUUUUUAUGGAUUGCUUGCAUCUAGUUAUCUUGGUGUUAUAGAAUGACAAGUAUUAUAGCAUAAACAUUGGUUUUGACAUGGAUUCGGUAGUUAACUCUGUUAGAUUAUUAAAACUUUUUAUUGAAAUCUGGCCACUUAAAGACUACAAUUGGUUCAAGACCUCUCAAGCGAAGUAUAAUUUUUUGAAGAUGUAUCUUAUGCUAAUUAGGCCGUUGUUUUUUCGCUGGAGAUAAUUACGAAAGCAUUUAUAGUUUUCGUAUAUGCAUAAAUCUCAUGAAUGUGUACAAGAUAAAACUGUUGUCUCAACUCUCAAUCAACAAAUUAUUAUUUUUUUGCUCAUUAGAUACCAUAUGCCAUGAAUUUGAAGUAUAGGAGAAAUUUUUGUGGAGUGUAAAGUCUCCCAAAUCCUACUUGGUGCUAGUAGUAUUCCCUUUUCCUCUUGCAUGAAGGGUAAGAGAAACUUAUUGCCCUCACUCUUUCCUUUGCACUUUUUUUCUGAUUCAUUCUUUUCUUUAAUGUUUCUUUUUUGUUUGUGCGCAAUGAAAAGAGCUAAUCAAAGUUAAAUAACAGUAUAGAGACAUGUGUAGUUCUUGUCUGAAAUUAUAAAAAUGAAGCAGAUAUACUAUUUAGUACUGUGGAUGACGAAUCUUAUUGCUCCAGCUACUUAUUUCUUGACUCUAUUUCUUAUUUCUCUUGUUAAUAACAUUCAUUCCUUCUAUUAUAUCCAUUUUGGUGCUAAAACUCAAUUGAACUGUAUAGAGAGAGUUGUCCUACACUCCUAUUAGCCUUCUUGUCCAAAAAAUUGUGUUGCACAAGGUACAUACUACCCCUACAUUUUUUUCCCUUUCUUUUCUCUUCCUCUUCUACUUCUUCUUCUAUUUCAAUCAUUCUUUGUUUAUAUCUUUUUAAUGUUAAUAUAUUUGAAUUGUUGUAUACAGAAUAUGAUUGUUGUACUUCUUGUUGUCCUACAAUACAAGCAAUGAAGCACAAUUUGAUGCAAUUCAACCCUAUGUUAUCGUGAAUCAACACUCAAAGAUACAUCUCUUAACAAAUACAACCAUACAUCAAAAACACAAAAGAAAACAUAAUAGAACCAAAAAACUGAACUAAUUUAACUCAAGCAAUGGACCAAACACUUGAACAAAUCCUUUUCAAAUAUCAGAUACAAGAUAAAACACAAAUUACUAUUCAUUGACAACCUAAUAACAACAAAACCUAUGAAAAUAUCAACAUUAACCAAAUAAACAACCAAUAACAAUCCACAAGAAGAAUCACUUACCUUGACAAGUGUAGGCUUGCAUUCGUCAUCACAUUGGCGAUGUCUACACUCUUUACUCUUCAUACAUAUAUAUCAAUUUUUUGAACUAACUAUUAACUUAUUUUGUGUGUAUGUUUGUUGGUUGCAUGUAGCUUUGGAUGGUCGAAUGUUUCUUUAUAAAUUAAUUUGUUCCUAUUUUUUAUGGUUUGUUCAAUUCCUUUUUUUUUUUUAUCUGCAUCCAUUGCUAUUUAGGGGGUGACGAGCAUGUUUCUGCUAAUCCAAUUUAAUUGUCCAUAAUAUACUUAUCAUAGCCAUAGACACAUAUUGCCCUUGCGUUUUUUCCCUCUGCUUCAGGGCAAUGAAAUAAACUAGAAUCUAACAACACCAGAUACUUUUUUGAUAUAUGCAUUUAUUUUUGUUCGUUAUCCAUUUCAAUUUUUAUAUACUAGCUAUGACUCUGUCAGGUGCAUAUUUCCUUCUCAGGAUUUAUAUCUUUUAUUUUCUUUUUCUAUUUCUCAUAAAUGCGAUUGUGGCUUGUGUUCUUCAAGAAGGGAGUCAGUAGACUCAAUGCUAUCAUUGGCAAUAAAGAAGCUUUCAUGACUAUAAUACCAAAAAACUAAUAUGCAAAAGCUCUAUUACUCAACAUAACUACUCCGACUGCACCAGGUACUUUGGAUAACAAUUUGGAUUGCACGAGGUACGUAUUUCUUGACUCCAUUUCUUGUUUAUCUUCUUCUAUUACAUUCAUUUUUUUCCUUCUAUCCAUUUCGUACUUGAAUCUGGUUGAACUUUAUAUGUAGAAUUGUUGUAUUAUAUACCUAACUUCUUGUCCAAAAAACUUGUAUUGCACAAGGUACAUCGCCCUUCAUUUUUCCCUAUAUUUUCUCGCAAUGAGUGGGGGUCGAGGAAAUACAGGAUGUAUGCAAACCUUAUAUGGAGGAGAGGUUGUUUCCAGUUCUUAUGGUAAUCCAGUUGAAUUUUUCAUAUAUUUGUUGUUACUUCUUGUUGUCCUAUAAUACGAGCAAUGAAGCUCACUUUGAUGCAAUCUAAAAUGGAGCCAUAAUGAUCCACCCAAUAAAAAAUACAACUAUUAACAAAUAACAAGCAGCUAUACGUAAAAACACAAAAUAUUGGAUACAAGUUACAACACAAAUAACAAUUUAUCUGGACAACGACCCAAUUACAACAAAGCUCAAGAAAAUCUUAACAUAAACCAAAUCAUCAACCAAUAAUAAUCCACAAGGAGAACCUCUCUUCCCUAGACAAUUGUUGGCUCACAUUCUUUCUUCGGAUUGGCAAUGUCAGCACUCUUUUUCCCUAUAGAUAUAUAUCGUUUUUUGAAAUAAUUUUUAACUGAUUUUGAGUGCUUGUGUGUGUUUGUUGCUGGUUGCAUGUAGCUUAGAUAGUUGAUUUUGUGAAGUUUUUCCUUUGGGCUUGUAAUGCUCACGUUCGAAUUAGUUUGUUUUGUAAGCUACCUUAUUGCACAUUGAUUCUUGCUUGUUUUGGAUUGGGUUAGUUUAGUUUAGAUUAAAAAUGCUGGUCGAAAGCUUCAAAUUAAAUGAUUAUCUAUGCAAAUGCCCUUACCUCUGUUGGAAAGCUUUCAUAUUCAAAGAAGAGAGUUGUCAUUGUUCUCGUCAGUAUUAUGCAAUGACAGGCAUAGCACAGGAACAAGUCAUACGCACAUUUCCCUUAUUCUGAUUCCUUUCUUUCCUCUCCUUCUAGUUUGUUCAUUUUUUUUUUCUGAGUCCAUUGCUGUUUACUUUGGGUGGGUGGAAGGCAGAUUUUGCUAGACCUAUCAUAGCAAUGGACACAACAUAGUGCCUCUUACUUUUUCUCCUUUGUUUCAGAGCAAUAAAAUAAAUUAGAUAUUUUGCAAACUAAUAUACAAGAGUUCAACAACACCAUGUAUUUUUUAUGGUUCAUGCUUCUUUCUUUUCUUCUUUUCUUCUCUUUUUCAUUUUUUCUUUCUUUUCUUUUUCAUUUUUUCUGUUAUCCAUUUUCAAAUGUCAUAUGGAGAAUUUCUCAUAGCGUGCAACUCAUGGUCCUUAUCUGAAUGGAAAUGUGCUAAAUGAGCUGUGCUAGGACCCUGACAGGUAAUAUUUCCUUCUCAAGCUUUAUAACUUAUAUUUUGUUUUCACAUCUCGUGUAAAUAAUACGUUUAUUCAGUUCUUUAAGGGGUCACCAAAGUCAAUGCUAGUGCCUAGUAGUAUGGAACAAGAACUAAUAUACACAAACUCUAAUACUCAGCAAAACUGCUGAACUGCACCAGGUACAUAUUCUUCUCACUGUUUUAUCCUUUGUUUUUGGAGGACUGAAUCACAUAGACAAUUCAAAAAAAAAAUAUACAAAGCUUUCGUACUCAUUCUUUCUUUUGCAUUUCUUUUGAUCAUUCUCUUCUUCUUCUUUUUUUUCCUUUUUUUGUAUGGUAGCAAGACCUAUUCAAAGUUAAAUUUUUACAUAUAGAUUUUUCCCUUUGUUUUCGAAUGACUGAAUCAAAUAGAUGUUUUGCAAAACCAAUAUACAAAAGUUUUGGUAUUCAAUCUGAAAACACCAUGUGCAUAUUGCCCUCAUUAUUUUUCCUUUGCAUAUCUUUUGAUUCUUUCUUUUUUCUUUUUGUUUGUAUUGUAGUAAUAGCUAAUCAAAGUAAUUAUUAUAUAGAGAGUGCUCCCAUUGCAAACAUGUCAUACUUCUUAUUUGAAAGUAGCAAAAUGAAACAAGAAAUUUUAUUUUUAAAACUAUAAUACAAGCUUGUGGACCUGUGCUAGGUACUUUGGAGUUUGGAUAGCAAUUUGGAUUGCACAAGGUGCGUAUUUCUCGACUCCAUUUCUUGUUUCUCUUCUUCUAUGACAAUCAUUCUUUUUCUUCUAUCCAUUUCGUACUUGAAUCCAGUUGAACUAUAUAUGUAGAGUUGUCGACCUAACUUCUUGUCCAAAAAACAUUGUAUGGCAUAAGGUACAUCGCCCUUCAUUUUCCCCUAUAUUUUCUCUUCUAUUUCUUAUGGUAAUAAAAAACCUUUUGUGCACAAGUAUCUUGUAGUGAGUAAGGAUCGAGGAUAUACAAGAUGUACGCAGACCUUAUAUGGGGAGGCUGUUUCUGGUUCUUAUGGUAAUCCAGUUGAAUUUUUCGUACAUUUGUUGUACUUCUUCUUGUCCUAUAAUACGAGCAAUGAAGCUCAUUUUGAUGCAAUCCAAACUGGAGUCAUAAUGAUCCACUCAAUCAAAAAUACAACUAUUUACAAAUUACAACAAGCUAUACAUCAAAACACAACGGAAAACAUAAUUAUACCAAGUAAUUGAAUUAAUUUUUUAUCACAAGCAUUUGACCAAACUUUUCAACCAAACCUCCACAAAUAUCAGAUACAAGUUGCAACACAAAUGACAAUUUAGCUGGACAACAACCCAAUUACAACAAAGCUCAAGAAAAUCUCAACAUUAACCAAAUCAUCAACCAAUAACAAUCCACAAGGAAAAACCUUUCUUCCCUAGACAAUUGUUGGCUCACAUUCUUCCUUUGGAUUGGAAACAUCAGCACUCUUUUUCCUUAUAGAUAUAUAUCGAUUUUUUGAACUAAUUCUUAAAUGAUUUUGUGUGUUUGUUGGUUGCAUGUAGCUUGGAUAGUUAAUUUUGUGAAGUUUUUCCUUUGGGUUUGUAAUGUUCAUGUUCAAAUUAGUUUGUUUUGCUUUAUUGCACAUUGAUUCUUGUUUGUUUUGGGUUAGUUUUGUUUAUAUUAAAAAUGCUUUUCGAAAGUUUCAAAGUAUGAUUCUAUUGGAAAGCUUUCAUAUUUAAAGAAGAGAGUUGUCGUUGUUCUCGUCAGUAUUAUGCAAUGACAGGCAGAGCACAGAACGAGAACAACGACACAUUUCCCUUAUUCUUAUUCCUUUCUUUCCUCUUCUGCUAGUGUGUUCAAUUUCAGUUUUUUCUGUGUCCAUUGUUGUUUACUUUAGGUGGGUGGAAGGCGGGUUUUGCUAGACCCAUCUCGUCAGUAUUAUGCGAUGACAGGCAGAGCAGAGGAACAAGUUCCGACACCAUACGCACGUUUCCCUCACUCCUUUCCUCUUCUUGUUUGUUCAAUUUAUGUUUUUUCUGUGUCCAUUGUUGUUUACUUUAGGUGGGUGGAAGGCAAGUUAUGCUAGACCUAUCAUAGCAAUGGAAAUAACAUAGUGCCCCUUACAUUUUCUUCUUUGUUUUCAGAGCAAUGAAAUAAAUAGAUAU